GUGACGUUGUUUAAACAAUUGCGUUGGAAGAGCUGGAUCGUGUCCGAGCUUGCGAUCACGAGCGACACAAGGGCGCAACCCUGGAGCCGCUCGUUUCUUUACGCCUUGCAGUGCGUUUAUGUAAAGUUGUCAACCACUCGUGACUUUGUUCAGAGUGCCGUGCAGUGACAGAAUUUCUCUCGGAAAAGAAAAGCCCGUGAAGAAAAAUUUUGAGACUCGAUAGGACUUCCUCUUGGGCAAGUUGGUGAAGUCUGCUAAACAAUGUUCUUGUGUGCAAAAAUAUAUUUACACAGGAAGAACACAUGCACACGAAAGUGCGAACUACCAACUGAUUUAAUGAUUCAAAGGAUGGAACAUACGGUGCAAAUUUUGUGCACACACAAGACAUGAAUGUUGUGACAGUGCUAGUUUGUCUCGUAAUGCUACAAAGCGGCCUUAAACAAGUGCAUCUCUGGGGAAUAUAAGGUAAUUGAAGUGUUACUAACAUGUGCAGGAUCUUUCUGAUAACGUAUGCCUUCAUGAGCUCAUGUGCUGGUUUGGUGCUGCUUGUGCCCAGGAUCAUAAUGUGCGAAAGCACGGCUCACGUGAGCAGGCCUUGCAACGUACGUGGCACCACCCAGUUUAUUUCAAAUAAAUUGUUUGAAUGAAUGCUCCCUCAGAUAGUCAUUUAAGCAUUGGCCCGUUUAGCCCACAUAGAACUUGCCACAGCUGAGAGGUAUCUCAUAGACCACAGCACAGUGCACGAAAUGGUUGGCAUGAUUUUUCAUACACCCUUGUCUCGUGGUACGAGAACACAUUUGGGCUAAUUUGACGGGCAUAAAAAAACAACUGGGACAUCGUACCUAGCAGACACGACCUUAA